GGCCGGUUAGCUCGGUUGGUUAGAGCGUGGUGCUGAUAACACCAAGGUCAUGGGUUCGAUUCCCGUUUGGUCCC
rnacentral:tRNA from 1 species